CAGAAGUCAAGCAUCGCCUUCCACGACUC
rnacentral:piRNA from 1 species